rnacentral:lncRNA from 1 species
AAAACGGGAUUUGGGAAUGCUGGGGAGAUGGAAACCUGAGAUUUGGGAAUGUUGGGAGAAGGAAAAACGGGAUUUGGGAAUGUUGGGAGAGGCCGUGAUGAGCACUGUCAGCUUCUCCGUGUUGGCUUCCUGGAAAAACGGGAUUUGGGAAUGUUGGGACAGGGCAAAACGGGAUUUGGGAAUGCUGGGAGAGGGAAAAUCGGGAUUUGGGAAUGUUGGGAGAGGGCAAAACGGGAUUUGGAAAUGUUGGGAGAGGGAAAAACGGGAUUUGGGAAUGUUGGGAGAGGGAAAACCGGGAUUUGGGAAUGUUGGGAUAGGGAAACCUGAGAUUUGGGAAUGUUGGGAGAGGGAAAAACGGGAUUUGGGAAUGUUGGGAGAGGAAAAAACGGGAUUUGGGAAUGGAGGAGAGGUGAGGGGAUGAACGCCGUCAGCUUCUCCGUGUUGGCUUCCUGGAAAAACGGGAUUUGGGAAUGUUGGGAGAGGGAAACCCGGGAUUUGGGAAUGUUGGGAGUGAAAAAAAAUGGGAUUUGAGAAUGUUGGGAAAAGGAGAAAUGGGAUUUGGGAAUGGAGAAGAGGAAAAAACGGGAUUUGGGAAUGUUGGGAGAGGGAAAAUCGGGGUUUGGGAAUGUUGGGAGAGGGAAAAUCGGGAUUUGGGAAUGUUGGGAGAGGGAAAAUCAGGAUUUGGGAAUGCUGGGAGAGGGAAACCCGGGAUUUGGGAAUGUUGGGAGAGGCCGAGGGAGCAUCACGGAGAGGUUUGGGAAAGGGGUUUGGGAUUUUUGGGAAUUGCAGCGUUGGGAAAGGGAUCUGGGAACAGCAAAUCCAACUGGGAGCGGCUCAGGGAAUUCCCAGCAGGGAAUGGAGGGCGGGAAAGGUUCGGGAUGCAGGGAGAGGUUGGGAAUUGGGAUUUUCCACCUCGGAAAAAAGCCCCAAAACCACCCAGGCCCAACCCCAAUCCCAAAAAUCUGCCCGGGAUUUUCCAGGCCCGGAAUUCCCCCCCUGGAAUGUGGGAAUUCCCGGGAUUCUCACCUCCUCCCCAAAGUUGAUGAUGUCCACGUUGACCUUCUCCUUCUUCAGGCGCUUGGCCAACUUCACCAGCUGGAAAAGCGGGAAUUCCCGGGGAUCAGCGGGAUCCCGCAGGAAUCCGGGAAUUCCCGGGGAUCCCGCAGGAAUCCGGGAAUUCCCUGGGAUCAGCAGGUCAGGAUUUGAUCCUGAAUCUGCUGCCUCAGCUCCGAGGGAUCCGGCCCAGGGAUCCAUCCCAGGGAUCCGGCCCAGGGAUCCAUCCCAGGGAUCCACCCCAGGGAUCCGGCCCAGGGAUCGGCUCUGGGAUCCAUCCCAGGGAUCCAGCCCAGGGAUCCACCCCAGGGAUCCCCACCUGUGA